rnacentral:tRNA from 1 species
GGGUCUGUAGUUCAAUCGGCAGAACGGCGGACUCCAAAUCCGCUAAUCCAGGUUCGACUCCUGGCAGACCCGCGA